UUAACACUACUAAUAAUAGCAAGUAUUAUAUUUUUUGCAAUCAAACUUAUAGCAAAAUGUGUUAGUUCUGUUGUUGUUUCAGGGUUAGCAUUAUCUGGGGUCCUCUGAGAGUCAGCAUCAUCUCUUCUCAGGUGUUCUGGAUCCAGACUGGAGCUUGUAUAAAUCCUAGUCACGGCAAAAGAAAAAAAAAAAAAAGAAAGAAACAAAUACAGACAUAAUUAGUGUAGCUGCUGUUCCAACCAAUCAAAAUUGAUUUGUUUAACCCAAGCUAAGAAAAAAAGAAUGUGCAUUUGAUCAGAUAUAACUGCAGUGCAAGAUUAUGAGAUGCAGUAUUUAAAUGCUUAGCCAAAGAGAUGUGUUUUAAUCUAGAUUUAACCAGAGAGAGUGUAUCUCCUUUAGUGGACUUCGUUAUCCUAGGAACUACCAAAAGUCCAGCGUAUUGUGACCUUAGAGAGCGUGAUGGGUUGUAGCGUGGUAGAAGGCUAGUUAGGUACGCAGGAGCUAAACCAUUUAGGGCCUUACAGGUAAGUUAUAAUAUUUUGUAACUGAUAUGGAACUUAAUAGGUAGCCAGUGCAGAGACUGUAAAAUUGUGGUAAUAUGAUCAUAUUUUCUUGACCUGGUAAGGACUCUAGCCGCUGCAUUUUGGACUACCUGUAGCUUGUUUAUUGAAGAUGCAAGACAAUCACCUUUCGUAGCUUGGCAAUGUUUCUAAGAUGGAAGAAAUAUUGUUUUUGUAAAAUGGGAGGUAUGAUUUUAAAAAGACAAUUUGCUGUCUAAUAUAACACCCAGAUUUAUGACUGUAGAGGGAGUAACAGUAUCAGUCUAGUUGUAAAUUAUAAUCCAAUAAAUUCUGUGUACUUUAUUUUGUUCCAAUUAGUAAUAUCUCUUUCUUAUCCAAAUUUAAUAGGAGAAUAUUAUUGUUCAACCAAUAUUUUAUAUUAACACAUUCUGUUGGCUUAGAUAAUUUAGAAGUUUCAUCUGGUCUCGUUGAGAUAUAGCUGAGUAUCAUCAGCAUACAAGUGGAAACUAAUUCCGUAUUUUCCAAUAAUAUUACCAAGGGCAACAUAUAUAUUGAAAAUAGCAGAGGACCUAGGACAGAUCCUUGUGGCACUCCAUACUUUAUUAUUGAUAAUUGAGAUCACUCUCCAUUUAAAUAAACAAAGUGUUAGCGAUCGGACAGGUAGGUAAGCCCUUGAAUUCCCUUAUAUAAUUGCACUUUUUUUAUAUAGUCCAAUUAUUAACCUUACAAAUUUGGACAUGAUAACCUGUGGUUCAGUUAGAGAGAGUCAUCUGAGCUGAUUCAGUGAGGAAGUGAUUCAGGAAUUCUGAAUUGGUCAGUAUUAUUUGUGGCACCCUUUCUUUUUUCCAGUUAUUUAUUUUACCUCUAUAAAAGUUAUCAGUGGUAAAUCAUAUUAUAUUAUAGAUGAGUUAAUAUCAUGUUGAGGUUUAAUGGAAGGUCAGAUAGAUAUCCAGGUGUGAGUGCACAUAUUGCCUGUACUGAUUUGGCAUCACAACAUGUCUUGUUAUUUAUUCACAGAGCAGUUUAAUAAGCAUUCACACUGUGCCUCUGUAAUUGUUCACAUUUUAUGAAGGUCUUGGCCAGUUAUUCUGGUUUUGAUGUUUUCUGUAUCCUGGCAACAUCAGCAAAGUCCUGUUUCUCACAGAAAUAGAUUUAAUUUAUCAUCAGCUGUUCAAAUCCAUUUUUUAUGGUUUAAUUCAGGCAAGUCAAAAUCAGAUUAGCUAGACUUGUUUGUUUGCAUCUGGCUUAUUUUAAAGAAUCUUUAUGAAUCUUUUUUUUACAUUUAUAUGUUUAUGUAUAAUCUGUCCUUUUUCCUCUUUAUCACCUCACCAUGUCUGAACAGGCAUAGUUUCUGAACACCAAGCAGCAUCUAUGCUGUGUAUAUGCAUUUAGUCAUUUUAUAAUACAUUCAUUUGUCUGAAAGAACUUGCAAAAAGAACUUGGAUUUUGCAUCUUAGUUCCAAUAAAUUCACUUCAAAGUUACAGUAUGUUUCCAUAGUACAGUUAACAUUUACCCCAAAAGAUGAAAGUAAAUUUGAUUCCUCACGAAAUAAGCACUUUAUGUCUUGUGCUCUGUCAGAUCGCAUGAAUAAACCACUGAACCUCUGAGACAGAAGUACAGCGUCGUAUUCAUUUUAAGCGAGUACUGAGGGUUUGUGCACCUGUGAAGAGAAAGAACUCUGUCCCAGAGGAUCUGAUGGGAAAUGAGAGCCUCCAACAGAAGUAAAAUGACGUCAUUUUUGAACAGUGUCAGAAGUAAUCUGCUCUAAUGAUUUAUCUUAUGAAGAUGGGCAGAACACACAUGAACAUAUCUCAUACCGUCACCAGAGCAGAAUAAAGACGAGAGGCUUUGUGGAGUCUAUAUGGAUUUGUUUUAGUAACAAUGCCCUGUAAAAUGAUAAUUCUGUACUUUAAACUUCAUGACUACAUAACUACAUGUCUGUAAACUACAUGAAAUCAGUCAAAACAGACAAUAUUUGUGUUUGUAUUGCAUGUUUCUUGUCUUUGUGCAUGCAUUGGUGCAUGUUUUUCCAAAUCCAGUCCAAUCAAAUCAGUCCAGUUAAAUUUAUUCUUCCUGAUUUUUUUCCUAAUUUCACAUCCUGUUAAUGACAGAAAUGCAUCGUAUUGUGAUUUUAAAAUGGGUUUAAACUGCACUUUGUUUUAAGCUCUGUACUACUUAUUAACACUAAUGUUGUAUAAAAAUAAAAUGGCAACGUUUGGUGUCAAUACAUUUUUUUUAAACACUUUUAUUAAGUAAAGACACAUUAAACACCACUGUGUUCAAAACAAGUUCUAUCUUCCUCACUGAGCCCUCUGUUCCUCUUCUGUUGUAUAAUGAUGACUGUGAAAUGGUUAAUCCACUAGGCUCUAAGACCUCAAUCCACAAAUUGGGAUUCAUCUAUUUCACUCUUAAAUGUCUUCCCCCAGAGUGCCUUUCAAGUCUUGAUUCUCACUUUCUUUUGGCAGUGUAUAAGGCAGAUGAUGCCAAAACGUAUGGUAUAGAUGCUGUCCUGAAGUCAGUUGUUGAUGAUAUCAAUGAUUUGGAAACAAAUGGUGUGGAAGUAGACACGGCUCACUUCAAAGGCACAUUGAAGGUUUGGGUUGCCCAAAUUUGUGGGGAUAAUUUGGGGCUAAAUUCAAUCCUUGGCUAUACAGAGAGCUUCUCUGGAAAUAGUGUUUGUCGCUGGUGCCACGUGAAGAAACUUGUCAUGAGAACACAAACAAUGGAAGAUCCGUCACUGCUUAGGGAUAAGGAUGGCCAUCUUUCAGAUCUGGUGCAAAGUAAUCCAACAGAAACUGGCUUAAAAAGACAGAGCGUUUUGAACAACUUGAAAUACUUCCAUGUGACAGAAAAUGUAGCACCAGAUAUUAUGCAUGAUAUCCUUGAAGGAGUAGGUGCAUAUGAAGUUAAAUUGGUAUUAGGCUCUCUCAUCUCUCAGAAGGUAAUAACCUUAGACCAGGUUAAUUACCGAAUCACAAGCUACGAUUAUGGCUUCUGUGAGUCUUCCAACAAGCCAUCCACAAUCCGACCUCAAGAAAUAAAAACACCAGACAGUUCGAUGAAGCAGACAGCAGCACAAAUGUGGUGCCUGUUAAGGCUUCUUCCUUUGAUGAUAGGAGAUCUAAUUCCAGAGGGAAACAAAUACUGGGAGCUCUUGCUGCUUUUGUUGACCUGUAUGGAAUAUAUUUUUUCUCCAUCCUUAACAGAAGAUGCAGUAUUAUUUCUCAGACAUCUUCUUCAUGAGCAUCACAGCCUUUUCCUGGAACUCUUCCCUGAUAGACAUCUAAAGCCAAAACAUCAUUUCAUGCUGCAUUAUCCAGGUGCCAUAAGGAGACUGGGCCCUCUGAUGCACUACUGGUCCAUGCGCUUUGAGGCCAAGCAUGGUUUUUUUAAAAGGCUUGCCCAUGUCACAUGUAACUUCAGAAACAUUUGCAAAACAAUGGCCUUCAGGCAUCAAAUGUUUUUGUGUUACAGUCUUUUGUCUGAUCACCUAUUUGCACAUCACAAAGAACUUGGUCCUGGUUGCACUACUCCACUUGCUUCCAUUGAGGGAUUUGAUCAAGUCUGCCACAGAUUUGAACAUACUCCAUCAUUGACUGAAGUGUAUAUACCCUCUUGGGUGAAGUGGAAAGGGACAGAAUAUCGUCCAGGAAUGACCCUCCUUGUGUCUCAUUCUCCAGAUGGUGAACCUCAGUUCGGAACAAUUCAGAAGAUUGUGGUUUUUGAGUCUGUCAUCAAUUUCAUUGUUAGGAAAUGGGACACAGUAGGAUUUGAAAGACACUAUUUUGCAUGCUGCGUAAUUCCCACUACUGUCAUUGACUCUAUUGAUGUUGACUCCAUUGAUGAUUACCAUCCUCUCCAUGUAGUGAGGUCAUACAAGGAAGGGGACAGCAACCACUAUGUGUCCAUGCGCUACCGGCUGUUUUAAAUGUCCCCUUUUUCAACUUGAAAUUCCAAGGACAAUUUUUUUUUGGACCGUUUACACACCUGUACAGACUUUUUGGAGAUGCAACCAUUUUUUCCCCUAGAAAGCUAUCUUUAAUUCACCGUAUUUGUGUUUUACAAUGUUUUGCGUAAGUAUAUGUAGAAUAUAUUAUAACACUACACUAUUUUAGCUAAUUUAAGCUAGCAUUGAAGCACUGUUGUGUGUAGAAUAAACAUCAAUAUAAAAAAUGCAUGUCAUAAUUUGUAGCUUUAUAUUUGUUACAAGAAAUGAAACCAUGUCCAUGUAGGUAACCCUUUUUCCAUGUACUUUUAUAGGAGCCACAACCAGAACAGAUCCAAAGUGGAUCAGCUUCCAAAACCUCCUGUGGACCAACAAUGUGAAGCAGAAAUUCAGAUGUCAGUGGAGGAAGUGCCAACAUUUAAUAUUUCUGAGGUCCUAAUGAGCAGUGUCGAAGGCAAGGACGUAUUGGCCAGUCUUGAGAAGAACACUUUAUCCUUAAAUCAGCGAAGAUGCAUGGUCAGGAUACUAGUUUCACACCUUAUGAAUCGCUUUGGAGAAAACCCAUCCUCUGAGCAAAAGAUGUGUUUGGCUGUUUCUCUGGUUGAGCAAUAUCCCUGUCUUAAGGACUCCCAGGGUAAAGGCUAUGAAGCAUGGUUCAGCCCUGGACGAAGCCAUCGUCCAGCUACUGGAUUUCUGGAGGAACGCUUGCGAAAUGUCAGGAAGAGAACCCGUCGUGAAAACUGCACAAGCCGUGAGAAAGAGGAUUCUCAAGCCAUAAGCAGCACCUUGGUUAUACCAGAGCCAAGUAUUUCACCUGACAGAGCAGUACAACUUGCAGAAUGGCUUAAAAAUAAUAUGUGGCCAGCUAACCAAGUUGCAGAUUACAUGAAAGAAACAGCCAUCCACAGGGCUCAGUGGAUAAGAGCUAACGGGACAAAAUCUAUCGAGGAAAUAACUUGUGAAUUCCCUCGACUCCUUGAUACGCCAGGCAUGAUUUCACAAGACUUCUCUGUAUUAUUCCCCGACCAUGCAGAGAGACUUUUCCAAACUUGGAAAAUGAGUUUCAAAGACAAAAUCCUUUGCUUUGCCAGCCAGGAGAAAAAGGCGCAGGAGCUUCUCCAGAAUUUAGACAGUUUGUCUCCAGAAGUCCAAAGUGACGUUGCACUCAGGCUGCUUCCUGUAAUACUGCCCACCCCUGUCUACAAAAAAGGGAUGAAAAUGUUCAAACCAAGCUUGGAAGAAAAUAUCAAGUCUUUCAUUGAAUUCAAGCAUGUUGGGACCAACAUGGUUGAAUAUUUGAAGGAGGCAGAGCUCACUAAACCCUUCCCCUUUGUCCUUGGUCUUGGGGAGGACAGUCAAUGCCAUCAAGCCUUUGUAGUUGUUGGCAAACAGGCACUGCAUCAAAACACACUCCUUGGUGCUGUGGACACAUGCUUUAAACUUUUUUAUGUUUUAGACAUCCAUUUCCCGAAGCAGUGUGCACCAGUGUGGGAGUUUUUGCAGACUGUUGUCUACAAACUCCCAGGAACUGAAUCUCCUUCUGUAAGACUGCUCCGUGGAUAUUUGUCAUGUUGAGCAGUACUGGAACCAUGACAACUAACCCUUUCUAAAAUGUUAUGCAAGUUUAUAUUAAGAGGAAAGUUGUCAGACUAAUACAUAUAUCUAAAGCAUUUUACUUGUAUCACUUUGUUCGUGUGCCUCUUUGUUAAACAUACUCUCUAAAAAGUUAUGAGUUUAUAUUAAGGGGAAAGUCAUCUAACUAAUAUAUAUGAAGCAUUGUACUUGUGUCUUAUACUUGUGUAUAUAAUGUAAAUGUUUAAAUCUAAGCUAAUUUAAUUUAUUGAUAUUUAUUUUUUUAUAUUUAUAAAAUGGAAGUUGUAUUUAUAUUUUAUAUGCUGUUUUAUUGUUCAUUGAGCAUGAAAAAAUAUCAUGCUUUUUUGCUAUAUGAAUUAUAUAUGCUUUUAUGUCUUGCAUUUGGAUGUUCUUUAUUAAUAAAUCUUCACCUUUUGA